rnacentral:rRNA from 1 species
AAUCAACGCUGGCGGCAGGCCUAAUACAUGCAAGUCGAGCGGGUGUAGCAAUACACCAGCGGCAGACGGGAGAGUAACACGUGGGAACGUGCCCUUCAGUUCGGAACAACCCAGGGAAACUUGGGCUAAUACCGGAUACGUCCGUAAGGAGAAAGAUUUAUCGCUGAAGGAUCGGCCCGCGUCUGAUUAGCUUGUUGGUGAGGUAAUGGCUCACCAAGGCGACGAUCAGUAGCUGGUCUGAGAGGAUGAUCAGCCUCACUGGGACUGAGACACGGCCCAGACUCCUACGGGAGGCAGCAGUAGGGAAUAUUGGACAAUGGGCGCAAGCCUGAUCCAGCCAUGCCGCGUGGGUGAUGAAGGCCCUAGGGUUGUAAAGCCCUUUCGGCGGGGAAGAUAAUGACGGUACCCGCAGAAGAAGCCCCGGCUAACUUCGUGCCAGCAGCCGCGGUAAUAC